rnacentral:miRNA from 1 species
GGUCUCUCUAUGUAGUUCAGGCUGGCCUUGAGCUCACUUUGUAGCCCAGGCUGGUCUUGAACUCGAAACAAUCCUCCUGCCUCAGCCUCCCGAGUGUUGGGAUUACAGGCAUGAGCCACCA